CAAGUGACCCCUGAGGCACACCCUCUGUGCAUCUCCAGAUGCAGGUAGCUGGUGAGCUGAAGGCAGAGCCCCGGAGUCUGCUGGCGGGAGUUGUGGCUACAGUGCUAGCUGUCCUCGGGCUGGGUGGCUCCUGCUAUGCUGUCUGGAAGAUGGUGGGGCAGCGGCGGGUGCCACGGGCCCCAUAACGAAGAGAGACUCUCACCUGGAUGCUGGGGGGCUCGACGCUCAGCUGCUUCAGCCUGGGAGAAAGAAAAACAGGAGUUGGGAGCUGACCAGGUGAGCGCCCUAUCUGCUGAACACCCAUCCAUCAAUCCUCUUCUUACUCCUUCAUACCUUUUCUUGUGGUCUUUGGAUCGGAAGUGGGUCUUCAGGUUGGCGGAAUCGAUGAAGUACCUCCUGUAGAGAUGGAAGUGAGAAGGAGAGUGAGGAGGUGAUAGUCUCCCAAGUACGCCUAUCUCCCUAGCCCUAGCUCGUCCCUGACGCCAGGAUCCGGGUCUAAGAAACGGGAGGCGGGCGGACCCACGGGUCCCAAGAGAGAAGACUCCGCGCGGCCUGGGGCUUGAACUUCACAUCUCCCGGCCGGUACCGCGGACCCUCCUCCGCCCCAGGCCGGGCUCGUC
rnacentral:sRNA from 1 species